UCUUAAUUCUUUGAAUAAACACAAUGUGAAUUGAAAUGAUAGACAAAGUAGAAUGUGAUUUCUGCAAGAUACUUUUAUGACCACUAGCAUUAUCCUUUGGCCUACCUACUUUUAUGAGCACUAGUAUUUCGUUCUAACCAGAUAAAAUAUUUACAUUGAUAAAGUAUAAUUGGUGCCGACACACUGUGGAUCGUUGUCGGGCAUCAAAAUUUUUAUUGUAAAUAAAAUACUACUAGUAUGAUUUGAUCGUUUUCGGGCAUCAAAUUUGAUCGUUGUGGUACAGAGCUCCUGAGGUUCUACUCGACUGCAGUUGAUAUGUGGUCUGUUGGCUGUAUUUUUGCGACAUGGUGAGAAGGCAAGCCUUGUUUCCUGGGGAUUCUGAGUUUCAGCAGCUUCUCCACAUUUUUUAGGUUGCUGGGAACGCCUACUAAGAAGGAGUGGCCGGGGGUUAGUUCUCUGCGUGAUUGGCACGUGUAUCCCCAGUGGGAGCCUCAAAACUUGGCGCGCGCUGUUCCAUCUCUCGGACCUGAUGGUGUUGACCUCCUAUCCUCCUUUUGGUUUGUGCAGAAGAUGCUUCAGUAUGAUCCUGCUGAUAGAAUCUCAGCUAAAGCUGCUAUGGAUCAUCCCUACUUCGACAGUUUGGAUAAAUGUCAGUUCUGAGACUUAUCGAGCUUCAAAUGGACGCUACUCAACCCGAUUUCUAAGGAAGAGUUGAGAUAUUGUUGGCAUCAUCUUGGUGGCAAGAGCAACUUUGUUGUGUAGCAUUCAUUCAUUAUCAACUUCUACAUAAUGUAUCAACAUUUGAGACAUGUUCUACCAGAACAUGCCACUGUGGUGUCAUCAUAAUAGUUACUGUACACUAUUUGUGUUGCCACAUUAUAUGAUAAUGAAAGUGUGUUUUGUUUGUGUCA